UCCCUGCUGGUCUAGCGGCUAAGGAUCCCAUGCUGGGUUGGUUCCCUGCCUGGGUUCAAUUCCCGGGCAGGGAA
rnacentral:tRNA from 1 species